GACUAACGCUGGCGGCGUGCUUAACACAUGCAAGUCGAACGGAAAGGCCCCUUUGUGGGUGCUCGAGUAGCGAACGGGGGAGUAACACGGGAGUAACCUGCCCUUGACUUCGGGAUAACGUCAGGAAACUGGGGCUAAUACCGGAUAGGAAUCCUUGCUGCAUGGAGGGGGUGGGAAAGCUUCGGCGGUUUUGGAUGGACUCGCGGCUGAUCAGCUGGGUGGUGGGGUAGUGGCUUACCAAGGCUUUGACGGGUGGCCGGAAGGAGAGGGAGACCGGCCACAUUGGGACUGCGAUACGGCGCAGACUCCCACGGGAGGGAGGAGUGGCGAACAUUGAGGAAUGGGUGGGAGCCUGAUACAGAACAGCCGCGGGCGGGAAGACGGUGUUGGGGUUGUACACCGAUUUCAGAAGGGGAAAAGCUUGUGGUGACGGUACCUGAAGAAGAAGCACCGGCUAACUUCGUG
rnacentral:rRNA from 1 species